GUUGCGAAGUUCGGAAGCUCAUAUUGGAAUUCACAAGCCAAUUUGUAAACAAAGUCCCUGAUUGGUCCGUGAAGUAAAAGAAGCCAAUCAAAUGCGUAGUUUACGAACUGGUUUGUGAAUCUCAUUAUGAACUUUUGAACUUUGCAAC